UACAGAGGGUGCGAGCGUUGUCCGGAAUCACUGGGCGUAAAGGGCGCGUAGGUGGUUGGGUAAGCGUGUGGUGAAAGCCCGGGGCUCAACCCCGGGUCGGCCAUGCGAACUGCCCGACUGGAGCACGGUAGAGGCCAAUGGAAUUCCGGGUGUAGCGGUGGAAUGCGUAGAGAUCCGGAAGAACACCGGUGGCGAAGGCGGUUGGCUGGGCCGCAACUGACGCUGAGGAGCGAAAGCAUGGGGAGCGAACAGG
rnacentral:rRNA from 1 species